GCCCGGCUAGCUCAAUCGGUAGAGCGUGAGACUCUUACUAAUCUCAAGGUUGGGGGUUCGAUCCCCCCGUUGGGC